AUGUUCAUAGAGGUCUAGAUGUUCAUAGAGGUCUAGGUGUUCACAGAGGUCUAGGUGUUCACAGAGGUCUAGGUGUUCAUAGAGGUCUUGAUGUUCAAAGAGGUCUAGGUGUUCACAGAGGUCUAGAUGUUCACAGAGGUCUAGGUGUUCACAGAGGUCUAGAUGUUCACAGAGGUCUAGGUGUUCACAGAGGUCUAGAUGUUCACAGAGGUCUAGGUGUUCACAGAGGUCUAGGUGUUCACAGAGGUCUAGGUGUUCACAGAGGUCUAGGUGUUCACAGAGGUCUAGGUGUUCACAGAGGUCUAGAUGUUCACAGAGGUCUAGGUGUUCACAGAGGUCUAGAUGUUCACAGAGGUCUAGGUGUUCACAGAGGUCUAGGUGUUCACAGAGGUCUAGGUGUUCAUAGAGGUCUAGGUGUUCA